rnacentral:rRNA from 1 species
CAGUAGCCGCGGGAAUACGAAGGGUGCAAGCGUUAAUCGGAAUUACUGGGCGUAAAGGGCGUGUAGGCGGCCUGGGGCGUCCCAUGUGAAAGGCCACGGCUCAACCGUGGAGGAGCGUGGGAUACGCUCAGGCUAGAGGGUGGGAGAGGGUGGUGGAAUUCCCGGAGUAGCGGUGAAAUGCGCAGAUACCGGGAGGAACGCCGAUGGCGAAGGCAGCCACCUGGUCCACUUCUGACGCUGAGGCGCGAAAGCGUGGGGAGCAAACCGGAUUAGAUACCCGCGUAGUCCCUGUCUCUUAUAC